CUGAAAUAAGUGACUAGAUGUAGAUGUAUAGGAGAAGUUCUGUCUACCUGUGUAGUCCUAAGAUUGAUGCUUCCUGUCUGACCUUAGAAGAAACCACACCACUCAAGUAAUUGUAAUUUUUUAGUCAGGCAUUAUUUUGUUGGGUCUAAGGGAAAUAAAAUCCCAUAUGUGUGUAAGUCUUCAAGAAGUUUAAAAAGAUAGGCCUGUUGGUGACAUCCCUGCAUAUAAGGAAAGGAAUGCUAAUGUAAUUCUGUUCUUUCUUUAUGUCUUUAAAAUCAAAUGUUAUUAUAUAGUAGACAAUUCUCUGAAAUAGGUAUUUUUACUAAGAAUGAAGGGGAAAUUUUUGUGGCUGUUUUUCUUUAUGAAACAAAUAAACAGGUGUAUGUAUACACUU
rnacentral:lncRNA from 1 species